UGGGGAAUAUUGGACAAUGGAGGAAACUCUGAUCCAGCAAUUCUGUGUGUGUGAAGAAGGUUUUAGGACUGUAAAACACUUUUAGCAGGGAAGAAAAAAAUGACGGUACCUACAGAAGAAGCAACGGCUAAAUACGUGCCAGCAGCCGCGGUAAUACGUAUGUUGCGAGCGUUAUCCGGAAUUAUUGGGCUUAAAGGGCAUCUAGGCGGUAAGACAAGUUGAAGGUGAAAACCUGUGGCUCAACCAUAGGCUUGCCUACAAAACUGUUGAACUAGAGUACUGGAAAGGUGGGUGGAACUACACGGGUAGAGGUGAAAUUCGUAGAUAUGUGUAGGAAUGCCGAUGAUGAAGAUAACUCACUGGACAGAAACUGACGCUGAAGUGCGAAAGCUAGGGGAGCAAACAGG
rnacentral:rRNA from 1 species